rnacentral:rRNA from 1 species
UACAGAGGUCCCGAGCGUUGUUCGGAUUCACUGGGCGUAAAGGGUGCGCAGGCGGCCAAGUGUGUGAGGCGUGAAAGCCUGGGGCUUAACUCCAGAAUUGCACCUCAAACUACAUGGCUAGAGCAUUGGAGAGGGUAGCAGAAUUCACGGUGUAGCAGUGAAAUGCGUAGAUAUCGUGAGGAAUACCGGUGGCGAAGGCGGCAUCCUGGACCGAGAUUGACGCUGAGGAGCGAAAGCUAGGGGAGCAAACGGG